AGUCCCAUGGGGUAGCGGCCAAUCCUGAAGCCUUCUGGGGGCUUCGACCGCAGUUCGAAUCUGCGUGGGACUA
rnacentral:tRNA from 1 species